CUUCAGAUGUUGCUGAACUACAACUCCCAUGAUUCUUUGAAUGGCAUAAGGGGCAAAUAAUCAUGGGAGUUGUAGUUCAGCAACAUCUAGAG